GUGAUUAACAGAACACAGACUGGGACAAGAGGUGUUUCCCAAGGGCACACUGACCCCAGUGUCUUCACUGGGAAGAGGAAACUGUGGGCCUCAGGUUGGCCAGUCAUACUUGACCAGGGCACAGGGGGAUGGCCAUGGAACACUGAUGUGUGAGAUCCUUUUCCUGAGAAGGGGAGUCUGGAAGCUCCAGAUCAGUGUCCUGGCUUGUCCCAGUAACAGCACUGCCCCUUGUCAGCAGCUGGUUCAGCAAUGGCCGUAUGACCCAGCCUGGGGCGGGAGUCAGCUGGUCCAUCUGGGAGAGCCUGCAGUAUGGGCAUGGCCUGCCAAGGAUGGUGACCUCGGCAAAGGGCAGAAGCACUUCUGGUUUUUGUGUGGCCGCCAGGGGACAGGAACGGCUCUGAUGAAGUCUGUCCUGGUGCAUGUGACCCGGAAGUCAGAGGCGGGCUGAGAGCCUUGCUUCUCUUCAGGCCAAGGGGGCACUGCUCCCACCA
ensembl:lncRNA